CACCAACAACAACUAAACAGACAACAGUGAACAUGAGCACAUCAGGAGGGACGAAGGAAACUGCAUCUGAAGACAACAAUUUUUCCAACAGAACAAGAUGAUGAUGCAACAACUACAACAUCAACAACAACAACAACUAAAUGGACAAAAGUGAACAUGAGCACAUCAGGAGGGACGAAGGAAACUGCAUCUGAAGACAACAAUAAUCCAAUAGAAAAAGGUGAUGAUGCAACAACUAAAACAUCACCAACAACAACUACUACAUCACCAACAAGAACUAAACGGAAAACAGUGAACAUGAGCACAUCAGGAGGUAUGAAGGAAGCUGCAUCUGAAGACAAAAAUUAUCCAACAGCUCCGCGGUGGAUCUGGCUCGUUGGCGCGUUGGUCGGUGUUGCAGCGCUCUUAAUAACCAGCGUGUCUGUCCUCAGAUGGAAGACUUAAGGGAAAAAAACACAGACGGAUGACAUCAUGGUUCACGAUGCUGAUGAAGGAGAUGCGGUGACCUACAUUACUGUGAGAGCUGCAGCUGAUCCCAGCGACCUCCACGCCACCGUCAACAAACCAAAGAAGUAACAUGUUGAAUAUUAAAUUGCACAAUUUUUUGCAUUAUAGAUUUUGAAUUUUAAGGGCAAAGCUGGCAGUUAUAUUUAUAUCAAUCUUUAUCGUGUUGAUGCUUUUCUUGGCUUAAUUGCAGCAAAGUGAGAAUAAAGCACUGACUUUAUGGAAACAUGUGAGAGAGUUGAGACUCCCUCUGGAGGUGGAGUGUGAAAAAGUGGCAGCCAUAUUAAAUAUAUAAUAUAUUCUUAUUCUUAUUCUCAGUCCCUGCACGGGCAUAAUGAAGUUUUUUUAAAUUAAUUCUCGCUUUUUUUUAAAUUCACAGUUGUUUUGU